rnacentral:rRNA from 1 species
GGGUUGUGAGGUUAAGCGACUAAGCGUACACGGUGGAUGCCCUGGCAGUCAGAGGCGAUGAAGGACGUGCUAAUCUGCGAUAAGCGUCGGUGAGGUGAUAUGAACCGUUAUAACCGGCGAUUUCCGAAUGGGGAAACCCAGUGUGUUUCGACACACUAUCAUUAACUGAAUCCAUAGGUUAAUGAGGCGAACCGGGGGAACUGAAACAUCUAAGUACCCCGAGGAAAAGAAAUCAACCGAGAUUCCCCCAGUAGCGGCGAGCGAACGGGGAGGAGCCCAGAGCCUGAAUCAGUGUGUGUGUUAGUGGAAGCGUCUGGAAAGGCGCGCGAUACAGGGUGACAGCCCCGUACACAAAAAUGCACAUACUGUGAGCUCGAUGAGUAGGGCGGGACACGUGGUAUCCUGUCUGAAUAUGGGGGGACCAUCCUCCAAGGCUAAAUACUCCUGACUGACCGAUAGUGAACCAGUACCGUGAGGGAAAGGCGAAAAGAACCCCGGCGAGGGGAGUGAAAAAGAACCUGAAACCGUGUACGUACAAGCAGUGGGAGCCUCUUAAUGGGGUGACUGCGUACCUUUUGUAUAAUGGGUCAGCGACUUAUAUUCUGUAGCAAGGUUAACCGAAUAGGGGAGCCGAAGGGAAACCGAGUCUUAACUGGGCGUUAAGUUGCAGGGUAUAGACCCGAAACCCGGUGAUCUAGCCAUGGGCAGGUUGAAGGUUGGGUAACACUAACUGGAGGACCGAACCGACUAAUGUUGAAAAAUUAGCGGAUGACUUGUGGCUGGGGGUGAAAGGCCAAUCAAACCGGGAGAUAGCUGGUUCUCCCCGAAAGCUAUUUAGGUAGCGCCUCGUGAAUUCAUCUCCGGGGGUAGAGCACUGUUUCGGCAAGGGGGUCAUCCCGACUUACCAACCCGAUGCAAACUGCGAAUACCGGAGAAUGUUAUCACGGG